UACGAAGGGGGCUAGCGUUGUUCGGAAUUACUGGGCGUAAAGCGCACGUAGGCGGAUAUUUAAGUCAGGGGUGAAAUCCCGGGGCUCAACCCCGGAACUGCCUUUGAUACUGGGUACCUAGAGUCCGGAAGAGGUGAGUGGAAUUCCGAGUGUAGAGGUGAAAUUCGUAGAUAUUCGGAGGAACACCAGUGGCGAAGGCGGCUCACUGGUCCGGUACUGACGCUGAGGUGCGAAAGCGUGGGGAGCAAACAGG
rnacentral:rRNA from 1 species